rnacentral:lncRNA from 1 species
AUUUCCUCGUUGAAAUUCUCCACAAAAUGCAUUAAUUCAAUAUUUAAGAUUUUUUGAUGAAUAAAUAAUAGCUCAAACGCUGUUUUACUGUAUAGCUGAAAAAAUCCAGAAUUGUUAAUUAUGAAAUUCUGGGAAUGUUUUAAGAACUGAAACGGGAAGUGAGAUCCUAAACAAAUGUAGUCCAACUCCAGUUCAUAACGUUUCAUUCUCACAGUCCAUCAGAGUGGAGUGUGUGUGUGGGACUGAAGGACUGGGUUCUACUGCUGUUCUCUGGACUAAAUGAAAAUGCUGCUGAUCUGUGGAGUUCUGCUGAUGUUCACAGGAUCUGCUGUGGGUCUGAUUACAGUAGAUGAUCGGUGCAGAUCUGAUCAGAGCUGUGUGUUUUAUGGAGCUGUGGGACGCCCGCUGUACCUGCAGCUGCCCGAUGAGGAGGAAUUAAAAUUAUUUACGAUAAAGAGUGAUUAUUAUUCUGAUCGGAUUUUACAUUUUAAAAAUAAAAUAAUUAUAGGAAAACCUUCAGAUCCAAGAUGGGAGUUUAAUACUGAAAACAAAACCAUGAUAAUAACCAGAGCAGAGAAAAAAGAUUCAGCAAGAUAUAGAUUACACACCUACAAUUCAACUGGAACCAACACAGGCAUUUACUAUCUCCAGCUGAUUAUAGAAGCUGUGGUGUCGUCAGUGGACGUUACAGACAGCUGUUUUACCAGAUUGAAGAGAAGAGUUCACUGUUUAUCUGAUGGAGAUGAGAUUCAGUUCAGCUGGACUCUGGAUGGAAUCCCACAUAAUCAGAAUCUGACUUAUGGGAAUCGGAUUCUCCUGCUGGAUAAAAGUUUUACUGGAAGCGUCACCUGCUAUGUAAAUAAUCACGUCAGCAAUGGAUCUGCUACAAUUAAAAUAGAGCACUGUCCUGGUAAGUUUGUGUGACCCUUUAAAGUAUAAUAGGAAGCCAUGUAGAGUUUCACCC